CGCUGGCGGCGUGCCUAAUACAUGCAAGUCGAACGGCUUUUCUAUGGAAGCUUGCUUCCACUGAGAAGAUAGUGGCGAAACGGGUGAGGUAACACGUGGGUAACCUGCCCAUAAGAGGGGGGAUAACAUCCGGAAACGGGUGCUAAUACCGCAUAGUUUUCUUGAUCGCAUGAUUGAGAAAGGAAAGACGGCCUUUGUGCUGUCGCUUAUGGAUGGACCCGCGGCGUAUUAGUUAGUUGGUGAGGUAACGGCUCACCAAGACGAUGAUACGUAGCCGACCUGAGAGGGUGAUCGGCCACAUUGGGACUGAGACACGGCCCAAACUCCUACGGGAGGCAGCAGUAGGGAAUCUUCCGCAAUGGACGAAAGUCUGACGGAGCAACGCCGCGUGAGUGAAGAAAGGGUUUUCGGAUCGUAAAACUCUGUUGUCAGAGAAGAACAAGUUGGAGAGUAACUGCUCCAGCCUUGACGGUAUCUGACCAGAAAGCCACGGCUAACUACGUGCCAGCCGCUGC
rnacentral:rRNA from 1 species